AGUGAACGCUGGCGGCGUGCCUAAUACAUGCAAGUCGAACGGAGUGGCGCACGGGUGAGUAAUGUAUAGCUAAUCUGCCCUACACUAGAGGACAACAGUUGGAAACGACUGCUAAUACUCUUUAGUGGAGGAUGAGGCUAUAUUGUAUCAGCUAGGUGGUGAGGUAAUGGCUCACCAAGGCUAUGACGCAUAACUGGUCUGAGAGGAUGAGGAGUCACACUGGAAGUGAGACACGGUCAAGACUUCUACGGUAGGCAGCAAAAGGGAAUAUUGGUCAAGGGGGGAAACCCUGAAGCAGCAACGCCUCGUGGAGGAUGACAGUUUGCGGAGCGUAAACUCCUUUUGUUAGGGAAGCGGUACCUAACGAAUAAGCACCGGCUAACUCCGUGCCAGCAGCCGCGGUAAUUC
rnacentral:rRNA from 1 species